rnacentral:rRNA from 1 species
AGGGAAAGGUGAAAAGCACCCUAAACAAGGGAGUGAAAUAGUACCUGAAACCGUGUGCCUACAAGCGGUCGGAGUCCGCACAGCAAUGUGUGGGAUGACGGCGUGCCUUUUGCAUAAUGAGCCUACGAGUUACUCCUCACUGGCGAGGUUAAGCUGAAAUAGCGGAGCCGUAGCGAAAGCAAGUCCAAAUAGGGCGACUAGUCAGUGGGGGUAGACGCGAAACUUUGUGAUCUAUCCAUGGGCAGGUUGAAGGUUUGGUAACACAAACUGGAGGACCGAACCCGUUGACGUUGAAAAGUCUUGGGAUGACCUGUGGAUAGGGGUGAAAGGCCAAUCAAACUGAGAGAUAGCUCGUUCUCCCCGAAAUGUUUUUAGGAACAGCCUCGGAUUAUGAAGUCUGUUAGAGGUAGAGCUACUGAUUGGGCUAGGGGGCUUCACCGCCUACCAAACCCUGACAAACUCCGAAUGCUAUCAUAUAUCUCCGGGAGUGAGGCUGCGGGCGCUAAGGUCCGUGGCCGAGAGGGAAAUAACCCAGAAUAGCAGCUAAGGUCCCUAAUAAGUAGUUAAGUUGAUCAAACGAGGUAGGACUUCUAUAACAGCCAGGAUGUUUGCUUGGAAGCAGCAAUUCAUUUAAAGAGUGCGUAACAGCUCACUGGUCGAGAGGUCCUGCACGGAAAAUAAUCGGGCAUCAAACUACUAACCGAAGCUUUAUGAUUGCCACUUGGUGGUAUAUCGGUAGGGGAGCAUUGAAACUGCAUUGAAGGUGUACGGUGACGUAUGCUGGAGCGGCUUCAAAAGAAAAUGUAGGCAUAAGUAACGAUAAAUAAGGUGAAAAACCUUAUCGCCGAAAGUCUAAGGGUUCCUGAUCAACGUUAAUCGGAUCAGGGUUAGCCCGGUCCUUAGUCAAACCCGAAAGGGGUAGAUGAUGGAAAGCAGGUUAAUAUUCCUGCGCCUGCUAUACAAUGAAAGUGACGGAGAAUGCUAGUCGUAUAAGCUGACGGAAUAGCUGAGUGGAUCCUUCGGGUGAAGCGUAACGAUGAAAGUUCUUCCAAGAAAAGCGAGUAUAGCAGCCGGUACCGCAAACCGACACAGGUAGACGGGAUGAAUAUUCUAAGGCGCUCGGGUGAGCCGUGGAGAAGGAACUAGGCAAAUUGACGCUGUAACUUCGGGAUAAAGCGUACCCACUUCGGUGGGUCUCAGUAAAAUGGUUCAACCAACUGUUUAACAAAAACACAGGGCCCUGCAAAAUCGAAAGAUGACGUAUAGAGCCUGAUACCUGCCCGGUGCUGGAAGGUUAAGGAAGGGUGUUCGCCGCAAGGCAAAGCUCCUGACUGAAGCCCCAGUAAACGGCGGCCGUAACUAUAACGGUCCUAAGGUAGCGAAAUUCCUUGUCGGGUAAGUUCCGACCUGCACGAAUGGUCUAAUGAGUUGAACACUGUCUCCUCCACGAGCCCGGUGAAAUUGUAGUAUCGGUGAAGAUGCCGGUUACCCGCCACGGGACGGAAAGACCCCGUGAACCUUCACUACAACUUUGCAUUGAUUUUGAAUUACGGAUGUGUAGAAUAGUUGGGACGCUUUGAAGCCUUGCCGCCAGGUAGGGUGGAGCGGUCGUUGAAAUACCAACCUUCUUUGAUUUAGAGUCUAAUCCCUAACGGGAAACAGUGCAUGGUGGGUAGUUUGACUGGGGUGGUCGCCUCCUAAA